GGACCAAAAAGCUGUCCCGUUUCUUGCACAAUCUUGACUGCUAUGGAUGGAACGACCGACCAACGGCCGAUCAAGAAAAGCAGAGGCCGCCAAAAGAUUGAGAUCAAGAAAGUGGAGAAAGAAAACAGUCGCUAUGUUACGUUUUCCAAACGUAAAAAUGGGAUUUUCAAGAAAGCCACUGAGUUAUCUACCUUAUGUGGGGCGGAUGUAGCUGUGAUUCUUUUCUCCGAACAUGGGAAAGUGUUUUCUUGCGGCAACCCGAAUGUCGAAAAGGUUCUUGAUCGAUAUCUUGCUGAAAAGGAAGAGAAAUCUUGCAUACUGGAAAUCGGCAGCAAUGGCAGUGGUGUGACUCAGACGACUUUGCAAGAGCGAGAUUACAAGAAAUCUCUUAGCCGGUUGGAAGAGAUGAAAAGAGCUUUUACGAUGAUAAGCAAAAAUAGCAACAUGAACAAGGGUGAAUUUUGGUGGGAUCUACCGAUCGAUAACAUGGAGAAGGAAGAGCUUGAAAGUUAUAGGGAAUCUCUGGAAGAGUUGAAAAAGAAUGUAAUGACAAGGAUUGAGGGGAUGGCUGCCCAUAAUGCUGCGGGUGAGUCUAGUAUUAUUAACCAGUUCAUUAAUCAUAAUGGGGUUUGGAAUAAUUCUAUUGUUACUUAUGAUGCUGGUUUGAAUAAUGGGUUUCUUUAAUUCUUGGAAUGGAGACUUCUAUAUGUAAUGAGUAAUAUUGAUUUUUUUACUGCUUUAAUUGGCUCUAGGUCUCUUCUUAAUUAGGGGGCCUAGUUGUCUUGGAUGUAGCAUGGGAUACUUAUUACAAGACCG
rnacentral:misc_RNA from 1 species